rnacentral:rRNA from 1 species
UACGUAGGGACCGAGCGUUGUCCGGAAUCAUUGGGCGUAAAGAGCGUGUAGGCGGCUAUUUAAGUCCUGCGUGAAAUCCUGCGGCUCAACCGCAGACGGUCGUGGGAAACUGGAUGGCUAGAGUGCGGGAGAGGAGAGUGGAAUUCCCGGUGUAGCGGUGAAAUGCGCAGAUAUCGGGAAGAACACCCGUGGCGAAGGCGGCUCUCUGGGACGGUACUGACGCUAGACGCGAAAAGCGUGGGGAGCGAACAGG